AGUGUUCUGUGAUGCAUCAGGGCCUCAUCAGCUCAUCGACGACUAAAUCGCCCACUUCAAGGUACUUUGGCCAGAUAAACCUCAAAAGAGGUACCAGGUGUGCACCAUGCCAUACCGCAAAGAGCGGCAUUUAUCCGAAAGUUCUCAGGCUCAUCAAGGAAGGGAAAUGAACCCGUCCCAGCUGCACCAAACAGGUGCACGCACCAUUACAGAUUGCAAGCCGUUCUCUUUAAGCCACAUGGAAUGUUCCAUGAGGUGAGCGUGCAUUUGUAGUGGUCCUUGGGACAUGUGCUGUAGGCUUAUGUAUUACUGGCUUUGUCUUUGUGGUAUACGCCAGGCUGUAUUAAAUAUAUUGCAGGUCCCAGCAACAAAAAUUGCAAGCCGCUCUCUUCAAGCCGCGUGGAGUGCUCUCUGAGUUCCCAUCUACACCAAGCGGGUUGACCCACCGUCAGACCGCAAGCCGCUGUCUUCAAGCCGCACAAAGUGUUCUAUGAA